AAGACUAUAGACCUGCGGAGUACCUGCGGAGGGAUCAUUAGUGAAUUGGGCUUAACGUCCUACACUUCCGGCUGUGCGCCUUUCGGCUUGCACGCCUGAUUCUUCACACCACUGUGCACUAUUCGUUUGGUGGCUUGCGCCGCCAUUCGCCUUAUACUUGACGUCUGUAACGAAUGUAAUGACAUUAAUAUGUAACACAACUUUUAACAACGGAUCUCU
rnacentral:misc_RNA from 1 species